GGUGACUGAGUGGCGGACGGGUGAGUAACGCGUGGGUAACCUGCCCUGUACAGGGGGAUAACAGUUGGAAACGGCUGCUAAUACCGCAUAAGCGCACGAGAGGACAUCCUCUUGUGUGAAAAACUCCGGUGGUACAGGAUGGGCCCGCGUCUGAUUAGCUGGUUGGCAGGGUAACGGCCUACCAAGGCGACGAUCAGUAGCCGGUCUGAGAGGAUGAACGGCCACAUUGGAACUGAGACACGGUCCAAACUCCUACGGGAGGCAGCAGUGGGGAAUAUUGCACAAUGGGGGAAACCCUGAUGCAGCAACGCCGCGUGAGUGAAGAAGUAUUUCGGUAUGUAAAGCUCUAUCAGCAGGGAAGAUAAUGACGGUACCUGACUAAGAAGCUCCGGCUAAAUACGUGCCAGCAGCCGCGGUAAUACGUAUGGAGCAAGCGUUAUCCGGAUUUACUGGGUGUAAAGGGUGCGUAGGUGGCAGUGCAAGUCAGAUGUGAAAGGCCGGGGCUCAACCCCGGAGCUGCAUUUGAAACUGCGCGGCUAGAGUACAGGAGAGGCAGGCGGAAUUCCUAGUGUAGCGGUGAAAUGCGUAGAUAUUAGGAGGAACACCAGUGGCGAAGGCGGCC
rnacentral:rRNA from 1 species